rnacentral:rRNA from 1 species
AAAGUGGAGCAAUCCAUGAGUAAAGUGGCGUACGGGUGAGUAACACGUGGAUAAUCUGCCCUUUAGUGGGGAAUACCGUUGGGAAACCGACGACAAUACCGCAUAAGCUCGAGAGAGGAAAGCAGCAAUGCGCUGAAGGAGGAGUCCGCGGUCGAUUAGCUAGUUGGUGAGGUAAUGGCUCACCAAGGCUGUGAUCGAUAGCCGGCCUGAGAGGGCACACGGCCACACUGGCACUGAAACACGGGCCAGACUCCUACGGGAGGCAGCAGUGGGGAAUCUUGCACAAUGGGGGAAACCCUGAUGCAGCGACGCCGCGUGAGCGAUGAAGCCCUUCGGGGUGUAAAGCUCUUUCGGCAGGGAAGAUAAUGACGGUACCUGCAGAAGCAGCUGCGGCUAACUACGUGCCAGCAGCCGCGGUAAUACGUAGGCAGCAAGCGUUGUUCGGAGUUACUGGGCGUAAAGGGUGCGUAGGCGGUCCUAUAAGUAUGGUGUGAAAUCUCCCGGCUUAACUGGGAGGGUGCGCUAUAGACUGUGGGACUAGAGUGUGGGAGAGGAAAGUGGAAUUCCUGGUGUAGCGGUGAAAUGCGUAGAUAUCAGGAGGAACACCGGUGGUGUAAACGGCUUUCUGGACCAUAACUGACGCUGAGGCACGAAAGCGUGGGUAGCAAACAGGAUUAGAUACCCUGGUAGUCCACGCCCUAAACGAUGCAUAUUUGGUGUGGGUCAUUCAGUUGAUCCGUGCCGGAGCUAACGCGUUAAAUAUGCCGCCUGGGGAGUACAGUCGCAAGGCUGAAACUCAAAGGAUUGAC